CACAGAUCGAAACAGACAGCCAAUCACUGUUAAGAUACUGUCCCUCCAGAAGCUGGAUAGGGUCUUGGGAACUGUGGACAUAUAAAGAGAAGACAUUUCAAAGUGUCAGUCAUUUAAAAAUGACGUUCCAAAUGAACAUUUUACCCUGAGGUUACUGUGAUCCUGGCUACACUGCUGUGGACCACCUGGCAGCUGUAUCUCUGGGUGUCCUGGGAUCCCAGCUGGUACGAACCGUCUCCGUUGGGCAGCACCUCUCCCUGCUCACCCUGUCCACCAGGGGAGCCCCUGUGCCCCCAGCCACUCCACCUGCACCGCCUGCGGGUAGAACCCUGUCACGUGACCUCCAUCUUGGAGGGUAUCCGUAGGCCUCUUCUAUCAAUAACACGCACUUGAGGGACUGUGAGAACACCAGGUGUAAUCAAGCCACCUCAACGUUCAUAGUGUUGUCAACAUUGUCUCUACCACUGACAUAAUUUGCUUUCAAGACUACUAAACUUUGUCUACCUUUUUUUGUCGUGGAUCCAAGGUGCGUAGUAAAGUAGUAAAGGCUCUCCAGAUCAAAUGUUACGUUGGCUCUGCACUUCAUGAAGUGGACAGCUUGAAGGACUGCAGCCGCCCAGGUUAUCAUGCUGCCCAAUCGUAGUCAAGCGGAAUCCCAAAAACCUGCGAAGGAUUCUGGAGAUGAAGUUCAUUCCCCUCCAACAAGAGAGACCCUCAUUGCUGCUGAGCCAAUCAGGCAUUGGGGCGUCAGCAUGCAUGGUGCUACUGUCAUACUGGAGGAUGGUUCUGUCAUCUACACUCCACGACCCCAUGAACUCUGGCAGACCUGCCACACCCUCUGACCCUAUGUGAUGUAGAUGGAGGACCUGAGCAUCUGCAAAACAGCAGAAUAUGCAGAGAGAAUAUUUCAUUGUAAAUAUGUUAAGCAAAGAUAUGGUUAAUGUGAUUAAUAUAAAGAAUACAUGUGCCAUGUAAAUGUCCUUAAAUAAACCCCCCUGCAUAUAGUACGGUAUGGCUGCAAAGCAGAGCCCACAUCAAGAUACGCUUCAUGUAAAGAUGGAUGUGUACACCUUGGGUGUGAAGAGACGAGUUUCCAUUCACACUUUUGUUACUGUGGGUUUGUUGACAAAGCCUGAUUACCUUGUUGUACAACACACUGAUUGGUCCCUUGCAAAGACUGCAUCACCGACUCUGAGUAGCGCGCCAGUUUUCCUCAUACACGUACAGCAGACAGGUUUGACAAGUUUCCCC
rnacentral:lncRNA from 1 species